rnacentral:rRNA from 1 species
GGUUAAGCGACUAAGCGUACACGGUGGAUGCCCUGGCAGUCAGAGGCGAUGAAGGACGUGCUAAUCUGCGAUAAGCGUCGGUAAGGUGAUAUGAACCGUUAUAACCGGCGAUUUCCGAAUGGGGAAACCCAGUGUGUUUCGACACACUAUCAUUAACUGAAUCCAUAGGUUAAUGAGGCGAACCGGGGGAACUGAAACAUCUAAGUACCCCGAGGAAAAGAAAUCAACCGAGAUUCCCCCAGUAGCGGCGAGCGAACGGGGAGCAGCCCAGAGCCUGAAUCAGUGUGUGUGUUAGUGGAAGCGUCUGGAAAGGCGCGCGAUACAGGGUGACAGCCCCGUACACAAAAAUGCACAUGCUGUGAGCUCGAUGAGUAGGGCGGGACACGUGGUAUCCUGUCUGAAUAUGGGGGGACCAUCCUCCAAGGCUAAAUACUCCUGACUGACCGAUAGUGAACCAGUACCGUGAGGGAAAGGCGAAAAGAACCCCGGCGAGGGGAGUGAAAAAGAACCUGAAACCGUGUACGUACAAGCAGUGGGAGCACGCUUAGGCGUGUGACUGCGUACCUUUUGUAUAAUGGGUCAGCGACUUAUAUUCUGUAGCAAGGUUAACCGAAUAGGGGAGCCGAAGGGAAACCGAGUCUUAACUGGGCGUUAAGUUGCAGGGUAUAGACCCGAAACCCGGUGAUCUAGCCAUGGGCAGGUUGAAGGUUGGGUAACACUAACUGGAGGACCGAACCGACUAAUGUUGAAAAAUUAGCGGAUGACUUGUGGCUGGGGGUGAAAGGCCAAUCAAACCGGGAGAUAGCUGGUUCUCCCCGAAAGCUAUUUAGGUAGCGCCUCGUGAAUUCAUCUCCGGGGGUAGAGCACUGUUUCGGCAAGGGGGUCAUCCCGACUUACCAACCCGAUGCAAACUGCGAAUACCGGAGAAUGUUAUCACGGGAGACACACGGCGGGUGCUAACGUCCGUCGUGAAGAGGGAAACAACCCAGACCGCCAGCUAAGGUCCCAAAGUCAUGGUUAAGUGGGAAACGAUGUGGGAAGGCCCAGACAGCCAGGAUGUUGGCUUAGAAGCAGCCAUCAUUUAAAGAAAGCGUAAUAGCUCACUGGUCGAGUCGGCCUGCGCGGAAGAUGUAACGGGGCUAAACCAUGCACCGAAGCUGCGGCAGCGACGCUUAUGCGUUGUUGGGUAGGGGAGCGUUCUGUAAGCCUGUGAAGGUGUGCUGUGAGGCAUGCUGGAGGUAUCAGAAGUGCGAAUGCUGACAUAAGUAACGAUAAAGCGGGUGAAAAGCCCGCUCGCCGGAAGACCAAGGGUUCCUGUCCAACGUUAAUCGGGGCAGGGUGAGUCGACCCCUAAGGCGAGGCCGAAAGGCGUAGUCGAUGGGAAACAGGUUAAUAUUCCUGUACUUGGUGUUACUGCGAAGGGGGGACGGAGAAGGCUAUGUUGGCCGGGCGACGGUUGUCCCGGUUUAAGCGUGUAGGCUGGUUUUCCAGGCAAAUCCGGAAAAUCAAGGCUGAGGCGUGAUGACGAGGCACUACGGUGCUGAAGCAACAAAUGCCCUGCUUCCAGGAAAAGCCUCUAAGCAUCAGGUAACAUCAAAUCGUACCCCAAACCGACACAGGUGGUCAGGUAGAGAAUACCAAGGCGCUUGAGAGAACUCGGGUGAAGGAACUAGGCAAAAUGGUGCCGUAACUUCGGGAGAAGGCACGCUGAUAUGUAGGUGAAGUCCCUCGCGGAUGGAGCUGAAAUCAGUCGAAGAUACCAGCUGGCUGCAACUGUUUAUUAAAAACACAGCACUGUGCAAACACGAAAGUGGACGUAUACGGUGUGACGCCUGCCCGGUGCCGGAAGGUUAAUUGAUGGGGUCAGCGCAAGCGAAGCUCUUGAUCGAAGCCCCGGUAAACGGCGGCCGUAACUAUAACGGUCCUAAGGUAGCGAAAUUCCUUGUCGGGUAAGUUCCGACCUGCACGAAUGGCGUAAUGAUGGCCAGGCUGUCUCCACCCGAGACUCAGUGAAAUUGAACUCGCUGUGAAGAUGCAGUGUACCCGCGGCAAGACGGAAAGACCCCGUGAACCUUUACUAUAGCUUGACACUGAACAUUGAGCCUUGAUGUGUAGGAUAGGUGGGAGGCUUAGAAGUGUGGACGCCAGUCUGCAUGGAGCCGACCUUGAAAUACCACCCUUUAAUGUUUGAUGUUCUAACGUUGACCCGUAAUCCGGGUUGCGGACAGUGUCUGGUGGGUAGUUUGACUGGGGCGGUCUCCUCCUAAAGAGUAACGGAGGAGCACGAAGGUUGGCUAAUCCUGGUCGGACAUCAGGAGGUUAGUGCAAUGGCAUAAGCCAGCUUGACUGCGAGCGUGACGGCGCGAGCAGGUGCGAAAGCAGGUCAUAGUGAUCCGGUGGUUCUGAAUGGAAGGGCCAUCGCUCAACGGAUAAAAGGUACUCCGGGGAUAACAGGCUGAUACCGCCCAAGAGUUCAUAUCGACGGCGGUGUUUGGCACCUCGAUGUCGGCUCAUCACAUCCUGGGGCUGAAGUAGGUCCCAAGGGUAUGGCUGUUCGCCAUUUAAAGUGGUACGCGAGCUGGGUUUAGAACGUCGUGAGACAGUUCGGUCCCUAUCUGCCGUGGGCGCUGGAGAACUGAGGGGGGCUGCUCCUAGUACGAGAGGACCGGAGUGGACGCAUCACUGGUGUUCGGGUUGUCAUGCCAAUGGCACUGCCCGGUAGCUAAAUGCGGAAGAGAUAAGUGCUGAAAGCAUCUAAGUACGAAACUUGCCCCGAGAUGAGUUCUCCCUGACUCCUUGAGAGUCCUGAAGGAACGUUGAAGACGACGACGUUGAUAGGCCGGGUGUGUAAGCGCAGCGAUGCGUUGAGCUAACCGGUACUAAUGAACCGUGAGGCUUAACCUU